AAAACAUUUUUCCCCCCUAGUAAGAGCGACUGAAAAGGGUCCUAGAGCUACAAAUAAUGUACCGCAAGGGAAAACUGAAAAGAGUGCUUAAAAAGCUCAGUAAAGUUCAAAGAAGCAAAGAUUAACACUUGUACCUUUUGCAUCAUGAUUUAGCUAGACUCCUUAAGCAAAGCGCCCUUUAGUUUUAAGCCCCGAACCUGAGCGAGCUACUCCUGACCUGCCUAUCAUCUAGGGCUAACCCUCCUUUGUGGCAAAAAAGUGGGGAGAGUCAUGAGUAGAAGUGACAAACCUAUCGAGCUCAGUUUUAGCUGGUUUUCUGGGAAAUGGAUAUUAGUUCAGCCUUCCACCUUCUUAAUUUACCCCUAAUUUUUUAAAUACACUAUUAAACCCAAGAAGCUAGGAGAGUUAGUCAAAGGGGGUACAGCCCCUUUGAAACAGACACAACUUUUAUAGGGAGGACUAAGAUCACAUACUAAAAGGGAAAAAUAUUAAGUGGGCCUAAAAGCAGCCAUCCGUGCUAGAAAGCGUCACAGCUCUGCCCUGAGACUUCCCCAUUAUUCUGAACACCUCCUCUAAAUCCCCCUGCACCUACCAGAAAAUUUUAUGCCCACAUAAAAGUAAUUAUGCUAAAAUGAGUAAUAAGAGGGUUUGUAAGCCCUCUCCUUUAUACCCUUGUAACUCGGAGCAGACCACCUACCGUGAAUUAUGCGACCCCAAACAAAGAGGGCCAAAAGCACUAGACUUAAUUGCAAGAAAAAUACUAUAAUAUAUAUCGUUAACCCUACACUGGAGUAUAAUCAAGGAAAGACUGAAAAAGGCGGAAGGAAUUCAGCAAACACAAGCCUCGCCUGUUUACCAAAAACAUCGCCUCUUGAUUUCCCCCCCCCCCCCCCUAAGAGGUCAGACCUGCCCAGUGAUAUUAGAUUAAAUGGCCGCGGUAUUUUGACCGUGCUAAGGUAGCGCAAUCACUUGUCAUUUAAAUGAAGACCAGUAUGAAUGGUUCAACGAGGGCUAAACUGUCUCCCCCCUUUGGUCCAUGAAAUUGAUUUCCCCGUGCAGAAGCGGGGAUAGACACAUAAGACGAGAAGACCCUGUGGAGCUUAAGAUAAACUUAUGCACCAAGUCAAUAAGGCCUAUAACACUAGACAAACUAAUUGACCCCCGUAAAAUAUUUUUGGUUGGGGCGACCCUGAGGAAAACAAAACCCCCAUGUGGACUAAAGACACCUUAAUACUAUAUUUUCUAAUCCUUAAAACCCAGAAAGCCAUUUCAAAUUAGCAGAAUUUCUGACCUGCAGGAUCCGGAAUUACCGAUCAACGAACCUAGUUACCCCAGGGAUAACAGCGCAAU
rnacentral:rRNA from 1 species